AUGCGCGCUGGCGGCGUGCCUCAUCCAUGCAAGUCGCGCGCACAGACGAGGAGCUUGCUCCUCUGACGUUAGCGGCGGACGGGUGAGUAACACGUGGAUAACCUACCUAUAAGACUGGGAUAACUUCGGGAAACCGGAGCUAAUACCGGAUAAUAUAUUGAACCGCAUGGUUCAAUAGUGAAAGACGGUUUUGCUGUCACUUAUAGAUGGAUCCGCGCCGCAUUAGCUAGUUGGUAAGGUAACGGCUUACCAAGGCAACGAUGCGUAGCCGACCUGAGAGGGUGAUCGGCCACACUGGAACUGAGACACGGUCCAGACUCCUACGGGAGGCAGCAGUAGGGAAUCUUCCGCAAUGGGCGAAAGCCUGACGGAGCAACGCCGCGUGAGUGAUGAAGGUCUUCGGAUCGUAAAACUCUGUUAUUAGGGAAGAACAAAUGUGUAAGUAACUAUGCACGUCUGGACGGUACCUAAUCAGAAAGCCACGGCUAACUACGU
rnacentral:rRNA from 1 species